UCGGCCAUCAUGACCAAAUCGUUAGCUCCGUCCCCAACAGCCAUCGUUUCGAGCUUAUUUAAACCCAACUCUUCCCUCUUUUCACGCAAAAUGGAAGCUUUUCGUUGUCCAUCUACAAUUGCACCUUGAACUUUUCCAGUGAGGAAUUUACCAUCAUCGGAAAAUUCAAGUACAUUGGCAUAUGCAUAGUCCAAGUCCAGUUGUCCCUUGACAUAUUCAGCCAUUGGAACAAAUCCACCACUAGCGACAACAAGAGUCGCACCCAUUUGCUUAAGGCAAUGACAAAGCUGUUUAGCUCCUGGAGUGAAAGUAAUUUUGCCAAUGACUUUAUUUAUGACAUCGACGCUCAACCCUUGUAGUAGAGAAACGCGACGACGAAGUGAUUCUUGAAAGUCAAUUUCCCCAUUCAUUGCAAGAGAUGUAAUCGUAGCAACCUCUUUCUGGAUGCCUGCUUCUGCCGCGAGCUCGUCAAUACACUCUUGUUGAAUCAACGUCGAGUCCAUGUCAAAUACUACAAGCUUCUUUUUAGUGGAAAAUGUUGCUUCACUCAAGCAAUUACAGUCUACAUUCUCAGUAGCAGAAAUGCGGUUACAAGCGUCUUUAGCAUCUUCAAACGUUCCUUUAAGUUGGCCUGAUACUAAAGUCCACUGUUCCCCCAGAGAACGAGUCUUCCCAUCUCUAAACAAGGAGGAAAUCUGUUCAAGCACAUUUGGACGAUUUGAGGAAACAACUAUGGCUGCGUUGACCAUGCUUAUUAAAAGGUAUGAGUGGGUUUGCUAAAUUUUCUAAGUUGAAAAGCGUUGUUUUCGGCAAGUCCCAUUUACUAAUUACUCGGCUAUUGAUUAAGCUUAACGUUAAACGACAACAAGUACUAGGUCAAUUUAAGUUAUUUGAAAAUCUCAAACAAGCUUAUUUUUUGUUAUUGUUUACAAAUUUAUCAUUAUCUUCAAAAUGCUGUAUAAAUUGUGAAGUUGGUAAAGUGGUGCCUAAACUCCGUUUUCAAACACAGGUUAAUAAGCAAAUAUUUUUUUUAUACAUUAAAGCAAUAAAGCAAGAAAUCAUAACUAAGAAGAUGUUUGGAAAUAUUGCA